CUGAACUUUGGAUUUGAAAUCAGCAAUGUGUCCAUGUCUGAAAAAGUUGAAUUCAGGAAUGAGACCUACACAGAGAUCCAGAAAUAUAUAAAUUCAUUUGUGUCCACGAUCCUGAAUAAAACAACAACUACUAACUUUAAUUUCAAUCAAAUCGUUUUCAAGGGAAACUCCACCGUGAUUGAGGCCAACGUAGAGUAUGUUUUCACAGACAGUGACAUCGGCAGCUUC